UAUUCAAGAUCUCAUUAUUGGCUAAGUCAUGGAAAUCUUUUGCAGAGCGCCAUGUUUAAUGACGUCGAGCCCAGUCCUUCCCAAGAGGCUUAGAGCAUCGCAGCCAAAACUGCAUGCUCCGCGAGGCUACUCAGUUUUGACUCCUGGCUCAGACCACGAUAUUGCAGAAAUGGCAGAUGACAAAGACUGUUGCAAGACGUACAAACGGCUGAAAACUUAGAAGAGACAAGAAUUAGAAUGACACAGAGCUACUUGGCCAUCCGACGGUGUCCACGGAACCCCUGAAGGAGCAGCUGCUUUGACCACAAUGACAGAAGAACUGGGGUGAGGCCGUGGGAGAUCCACCCACCGCCCCCUUCUCCAGCAGCGAAGGCUGCAGGCAGACUGGUGAGCGUUGCUGUGGGAGGCCAAGGGCGUAGAUGAUUCUAUACACGCGGGACCUCUCGGAUGUCAUGGGAGCCUCACCGUAACCUGUAACGAGCCGAAUAUCCACGCCAGACCUUUGUUCCACACGGAAGGCUGUUGUAUAUCUCGUGGC